GUUUUUGUUUUCUUUCUAAAAAAAUGCAUUUUUGUUGAAAGUUUUAGGCUAUAGAAUAAUUUGAGGUUGGUUUGUAGAGACUUGGAAAAAGUUCACAAGAUCGGUAUCGUUUUAACACCUUAAAUCUCCUGAAUAUGAAAAUCAUUUUGAAUACUUGUUAUGACAUAACCUUGAGUUCUCAUUUUUCUUAUAGCUCUUGAGUAGUUUAU
rnacentral:lncRNA from 1 species